rnacentral:rRNA from 1 species
UACGUAGGGUGCGAGCGUUAAUCGGAAUUACUGGGCGUAAAGCGUGCGCAGGCGGCUUUGCAAGACAGAUGUGAAAUCCCCGGGCUCAACCGGGGAACUGCAUUUGUGACUGCAAGGCUAGAGUACGGCAGAGGGGGAUGGAAUUCCGCGUGUAGCAGUGAAAUGCGUAGAUAUGCGGAGGAACACCAAUGGCGAAGGCAAUCCCCUGGGCCUGUACUGACGCUCAUGCACGAAAGCGUGGGGAGCAAACAGG